rnacentral:rRNA from 1 species
AGCUCGAUGAGUAGGGCGGGACACGUGGUAUCCUGUCUGAAUAUGGGGGGACCAUCCUCCAAGGCUAAAUACUCCUGACUGACCGAUAGUGAACCAGUACCGUGAGGGAAAGGCGAAAAGAACCCCGGCGAGGGGAGUGAAAAAGAACCUGAAACCGUGUACGUACAAGCAGUGGGAGCACAGGUUUACCUGUGUGACUGCGUACCUUUUGUAUAAUGGGUCAGCGACUUAUAUUCUGUAGCAAGGUUAACCGUAUAGGGGAGCCGUAGGGAAACCGAGUCUUAACCGGGCGUUAAGUUGCAGGGUAUAGACCCGAAACCCGGUGAUCUAGCCAUGGGCAGGUUGAAGGUUGGGUAACACUAACUGGAGGACCGAACCGACUAAUGUUGAAAAAUUAGCGGAUGACCUGUGGCUGGGGGUGAAAGGCCAAUCAAACCGGGAGAUAGCUGGUUCUCCCCGAAAGCUAUUUAGGUAGCGCCUCGUGAAUUCAUCUCCGGGGGUAGAGCACUGUUUCGGCUAGGGGGCCAUCCCGGCUUACCAACCCGAUGCAAACUGCGAAUACCGGAGAAUGUUAUCACGGGAGACACACGGCGGGUGCUAACGUCCGUCGUGAAGAGGGAAACAACCCAGACCGCCAGCUAAGGUCCCAAAGUCAUGGUUAAGUGGGAAACGAUGUGGGAAGGCCCAGACAGCCAGGAUGUUGGCUUAGAAGCAGCCAUCAUUUAAAGAAAGCGUAAUAGCUCACUGGUCGAGUCGGCCUGCGCGGAAGAUGUAACGGGGCUAAACCAUGCACCGAAGCUGCGGCAGCGAACGUAUCACCCAAGACAACUUUACGGAGUUGACGAUUGACGGAGCGAAGCGACGUCAAAGCGUUCAUUAAAGUCGAGUUGGCUUAGGGAUACGUUCGUUGGGUAGGGGAGCGUUCUGUAAGCCUGUGAAGGUGUGUCGUGAGGCAUGCUGGAGGUAUCAGAAGUGCGAAUGCUGACAUAAGUAACGAUAAAGCGGGUGAAAAGCCCGCUCGCCGGAAGACCAAGGGUUCCUGUCCAACGUUAAUCGGGGCAGGGUGAGUCGACCCCUAAGGCGAGGCCGAAAGGCGUAGUCGAUGGGAAACGGGUUAAUAUUCCCGUACUUGGUGUUACUGCGAAGGGGGGACGGAGAAGGCUAUGUUGGCCGGGCGACGGUUGUCCCGGUUUAAGCGUGUAGGUGUGUGUUCCAGGUAAAUCCGGUUCACUUUAACACUGAGGCGUGACGACGAGGCACUACGGUGCUGAAGCAACAAAUGCCCUGCUUCCAGGAAAAGCCUCUAAGCAUCAGGUAACAC